rnacentral:rRNA from 1 species
UUCCAGCCCCAAUGGCGUAUAUUAAAGUUGUUGCAGUUAAAAAGCUCGUAGUUGGAUCUCGGAUCCCGGCUCGCGGUCCACCUCACGGUGGUUACUGCCCGUUCGGAUCUACCUCCCGGUUUUCCCUUGGUGCUCUUGACUGAGUGUCUCGGGUGGCCGGAACGUUUACUUUGAAAAAAUUAGAGUGUUCAAAGCAGGCGCUUCGCCUGAAUAAUGGUGCAUGGAAUAAUGGAAUAGGACCUCGGUUCUAUUUUGUUGGUUUUCGGAACUUGAGGUAAUGAUUAAGAGGGACAGACGGGGGCAUUCGUAUUACGGUGUUAGAGGUGAAAUUCUUGGAUCGCCGUAAGACGAACUACUGCGAAAGCAUUUGCCAAGAAUGUUUUCAUUA